rnacentral:lncRNA from 1 species
AUGCUCAAGAUUCUCCAAGCCAGAGUUCAGCAAUACGUGAACCAUGAACUCACUGAUGUUCAAGCUGAUUUUAGAAAAGGCAGAGGAACCAGAGAUCAAAUUGCCAACAUCUGCUGGAUCAUGGAAAAAGCAAGAGAGUUCCAGAAAAACAUCUCUUUCUGCUUUAUUGACUAUGCCAAAGCCUUUGACUGUGUGGAUCACAAUAAACUGUGGAAAAUUCUGAAAGAGAUGGGAAUACCAGACCACCUGACCUGCCCCUUGAGAAAUCUGUAUGCAGGUCAAGAAGCAACAGUUAGAACUGGACAUGGAACAAGAGACUGGUUCCAAAUAGGAAAAGGAGUAUGUCAAGGCUGUAUAUUGUCACCCUGCUUAUUUAACUUCUAUGCAGAGUACAUCAUGAGAAACGCUGGGCUGGAAGAAGAACAAGCUGGAAUCAAGAUUGCCAGGAGAAAUAUCAAUAACCUCAGAUAUGCAGAUGACACCACCCUGAUGGCAGAAAGUGAAGAGGAACUAAAAAGCCUCCUGAUGAAAGUGAAAGAGGAGAGUGAAAAAGUUGGCUUAAAGCUCAACAUUCAGAAAACGAAGAUCAUGGCAUCCGGUCCCAUCACUUCAUGGGAAAUAGAUGGGGAAACAGUGGAAACAGUGUCAGACUUUAUUUUGGGGGGCUCCAAAAUCACUGCAGAUGGUGACUGCAGCCAUGAAAUUAAAAGAUGCUUACUCCUUGGAAGAAAAGUUAUGACCAAUCUAGACAGCACAUUCAAAAGCAGAGACAUUACUUUGCUGACUAAGGUCCGUCUAGUCAAGGCUAUGGUUUUUCCUGUGGUCAUGUAUGGAUGUGAGAGUUGGACUGUGAAGAAGGCUGAGCACCGAAGAAUUGAUGCAUUUGAACUGUGGUGUUGGAGAAGACUCUUGAGAGUCCCUUGGACUGCAAGGAGAUCCAACCAGUCCAUUCUGAAGGAGAUCAACUCUGGGAUUUCUUUGGAAGAACUGAUGCUAAAGCUGAAGCUCCAGUACUUUGGCCACCUCAUGUGA